CCAGUGUUAUAUGAUAUUUUGAUUAAAUAUACAAAACUCUGAUUCCAUUAAAAUAAUAAAACGUCUAAAGCAUGCUUAUUACAUUAAGUAGUUUUUAUACUUUUUACAUUUAACCAACCAAUAAAAUAUAAAUGGUAGGAUUUACAUUUAAACUUCCAUCCUUUAUACUCAAUAAAUUGACAAUUUCUUUCUAGAUACCAAUACCGCGGAUUGUCAAUGUAAGCUGAGAAUGGAUCUUGCAUUUGUAAUACCAGUGAAACUACUAAUAUUCUAUCUACGUUGAAGAUGAACGAUAACAAUUACAUAAACAUCAAUGAUUUAUUGCAAUUUCUAUUGUAAAGAUUAUUGAUUAUACCAGUACCGCGGAUUGUCAAUGUAAGCUGGGCAUGGAUCUUGCAUUUGUAAUACCUGUGAAACUACUAAUAUUCUAUCUACGUUGAAGAUGAACGAUAACAAUUACAUAAACAUCAAUGAUUUAUUGCAAUUUCUUUUGUACAGAUUAUUGAUUAUACCAGUACCGCGGAUUGUCAAUGUAAGCUGGGCAUGGAUCUUGCAUUUGUAAUACCUGUGAAACUACUAAUAUUCUAUCUACGUUGAAGAUGAACGAUAACAAUUACAUAAACAUCAAUGAUUUAUUGCAAUUUCUUUUGUACAGAUUAUUGAUUAUACCAGUACCGCGGAUUGUCAAUGUAAGCUGGGCAUGGAUCUUGCAUUUGUAAUACCUGUGAAACUACUAAUAUUCUAUCUACAUUGAAGAUGAACGAUAACAAUUACAUAAACAUCAAUGAUUUAUUGCAAUUUCUUUUGUAAAGAUUAUUGAUUAUACCAGUACCGCGGAUUGUCUGGGCAUGGAUCUUGCAUUUGUAAUACCUGUGAAACUACUAAUAUUCUAUCUACGUUGAAGAUGAACGAUAACAAUUACAUAAACAUCAAUGAUUUAUUGCAAUUUCUUUUGUAAAGAUUAUUGAUUAUACCAGUACCGCGGAUUGUCAAUGUAAGCUGGGCAUGGAUCUUGCAUUUGUAAUACCUGUGAAACUACUAAUAUUCUAUCUACAUUGAAGAUGAACGAUAACAAUUACAUAAACAUCAAUGAUUUAUUGCAAUUUCUUUUGUAAAGAUUAUUGAUUAUACCAGUACCGCGGAUUGUCUGGGCAUGGAUCUUGCAUUUGUAAUACCUGUGAAACUACUAAUAUUCUAUCUACGUUGAAGAUGAACGAUAACAAUUACAUAAACAUCAAUGAUUUAUUGCAAUUUCUUUUGUACAGAUUAUUGAUUAUACCAGUACCGCGGAUUGUCAAUGUAAGCUGGGCAUGGAUCUUGCAUUUGUAAUACCUGUGAAACUACUAAUAUUCUAUCUACAUUGAAGAUGAACGAUAACAAUUACAUAAACAUCAAUGAUUUAUUGCAAUUUCUUUUGUAAAGAUUAUUGAUUAUACCAGUACCGCGGAUUGUCUGGGCAUGGAUCUUGCAUUUGUAAUACCUGUGAAACUACUAAUAUUCUAUCUACGUUGAAGAUGAACGAUAACAAUUACAUAAACAUCAAUGAUUUAUUGCAAUUUCUUUUGUACAGAUUAUUGAUUAUACCAGUACCGCGGAUUGUCAAUGUAAGCUGGGCAUGGAUCUUGCAUUUGUAAUACCUGUGAAACUAUUAAUAUUCUAUCUACAUUGAAGAUGAACGAUAACAAUUACAUAAACAUCAAUGAUUUAUUGCAAUUUCUUUUGUAAAGAUUAUUGAUUAUACCACUACCGCGGAUUGUCAAUGUAAGCUGGGCAUGGAUCUUGCAUUUGUAAUACCUGUGAAACUACUAAUAUUCUAUCUACAUUGAAGAUGAACGAUAACAAUUACAUAAACAUCAAUGAUUUAUUGCAAUUUCUUUUGUAAAGAUUAUUGAUUAUACCAGUACCGCGGAUUGUCAAUGUAAGCUGGGCAUGGAUCUUGCAUUUGUAAUACCUGUGAAACUACUAAUAUUCUAUCUACAUUGAAGAUGAACGAUAACAAUUACAUAAACAUCAAUGAUUUAUUGCAAUUUCUUUUGUAAAGAUUAUUGAUUAUACCAGUACCGCGGAUUGUCAAUGUAAGCUGGGCAUGGAUCUUGCAUUUGUAAUACCUGUGAAACUACUAAUAUUCUAUCUACAUUGAAGAUGAACGAUAACAAUUACAUAAACAUCAAUGAUUUAUUGCAAUUUCUUUUGUAAAGAUUAUUGAUUAUACCAGUACCGCGGAUUGUCAAUGUAAGCUGGGCAUGGAUCUUGCAUUUGUAAUACCUGUGAAACUAUUAAUAUUCUAUCUACAUUGAAGAUGAACGAUAACAAUUACAUAAACAUCAAUGAUUUAUUGCAAUUUCUUUUGUAAAGAUUAUUGAUUAUACCACUACCGCGGAUUGUCAAUGUAAGCUGGGCAUGGAUCUUGCAUUUGUAAUACCUGUGAAACUACUAAUAUUCUAUCUACAUUGAAGAUGAACGAUAACAAUUACAUAAACAUCAAUGAUUUAUUGCAAUUUCUUUUGUAAAGAUUAUUGAUUAUACCAGUACCGCGGAUUGUCAAUGUAAGCUGGGCAUGGAUCUUGCAUUUGUAAUACCUGUGAAACUACUAAUAUUCUAUCUACAUUGAAGAUGAACGAUAACAAUUACAU